rfam:Solenopsis invicta Si_gnG.contig81309, whole genome shotgun sequence.
CUCUUUGGUUAUCUAGCUGUAUGAGUUUUAUCCGACAUCAUAAAGCUAGGUUACCGGAGUU